rnacentral:rRNA from 1 species
GAUGAACGCUAGCUACAGGCUUAACACAUGCAAGUCGAGGGGAAACGACAUCGAAAGCUUGCUUUUGAUGGGCGUCGACCGGCGCACGGGUGAGUAACGCGUAUCCAACCUGCCCACCACUUGGGGAUAACCUUGCGAAAGUAAGACUAAUACCCAAUGACGUCUCUAGAAGACAUCUGAAGGAGAUUAAAGAUUUAUCGGUGAUGGAUGGGGAUGCGUCUGAUUAGCUUGUUGGCGGGGUAACGGCCCACCAAGGCCGACGAUCAGUAGGGGUUCUGAGAGGAAGGUCCCCCACAUUGGAACUGAGACACGUUCCAAACUCCUACGGGAGGCAGCAGUGAGGAAUAUUGGUCAAUGGGCGAGAGCCUGAACCAGCCAAGUAGCGUGCAGGAUGACGGCCCUAUGGGUUGUAAACUGCUUUUAUAAGGGAAUAAAGUGAGUCUCGUGAGACUUUUUGCAUGUACCUUAUGAAUAAGGACCGGCUAAUUCCGUGCCAGCCGCCGCCGUAA